rnacentral:rRNA from 1 species
AGAGCGAACGCUGGCGGCAGGCCUAACACAUGCAAGUCGAGCGCCCGUAGCAAUACGGGAGCGGCAGACGGGAUAGUAACACGUGGGAACGCGCCCUUCGGUUCGGAAUAACUCAGGGAAACUUGAGCUAAUACCGAAUACGCCCUUACGGGGAAAGAUUUAUUGCCGAAGGAACGGCCCGCGUCCGAUUAGCUAGUUGGUGAGGUAAUGGCUCACCAAGGCUACGAUCGGUAGCUGGUCUGAGAGGAUGACCAGCAUCACUGGGACUGAGACACGGCCCAGACUCCUACGGGAGGCAGCAGUGGGGAAUAUUGGACAAUGGGCGCAAGCCUGAUCCAGCCAUGCCGCGUGGAUGAUGAAGGCCUUAGGGUUGUAAAGUCCUUUAACGGGGAAGAUAAUGACGGUACCCGUAGAAUAAGCCCCGGCUAACUUCGUGCCAGCAGCCGC